rnacentral:rRNA from 1 species
AUCAACUUUCGAUGGUAGGAUAGAGGCCUACCAUGGUGGUAACGGGUAACGGGGUGUUAGGGCACGACACCGGAGAGGGAGCCUGAGAAACGGCUACCACAUCCAAGGAUGGCAGCAGGCGCGCAAAUUACCCAAUCCCGACACGGGGAGGUAGUGACAAUAAAUAACAAUACGGGGUUCUUUCGGAUUUCGUAAUUGGAAUGAGUACAAUUUAAAUCUCUUAACGAGGAACAAUUGGAGGGCAAGUCUGGUGCCAGCAGCCGCGGUAAUUCCAGCUCCAAUAGCGUAUAUUAAAGUUGUUGCAGUUAAAAAGCUCGUAGUUGAAUUUCGGGGUCAGUAGAUUGGUCGUGCCACUGGUAUGUACUGGUCUUACUGGUUCCUCCUUCCUGAUGAACCGUAAUGCCAUUAAUUUGGUGUUGCGGGGAGACUGGACUGUUACUUUGAAAAAAUUAGAGUGUUUAAAGCAGGCUAACGCUUGAAUACAUUAGCAUGGAAUAAUGAAAUAGGACGUUCGAUCUUAUUUUGUUGGUUUCUAAGAUUGACGUAAUGAUUAAUAGGGAUAGUUGGGGGCAUUAGUAUUCAAUUGUCAGAGGUGAAAUUCUUGGAUUUAUUGAAGACUAACUACUGCGAAAGCAUUUGCCAAGGAUGUUUUCAUUAAUCAAGAACGAAAGUUAGGGGAUCGAAGACGAUCAGAUACCGUCGUAGUCUUAACCAUAAACUAUGCCGACUAGGGAUCGGAUGAUGUUAAUUUUUUAAUGACUCAUUCGGCGCCUUACGGGAAACCAAAGUGUUUGGGUUC